rnacentral:rRNA from 1 species
AACGAACGCUGGCGGCAUGCCUAACACAUGCAAGUCGAACGAGACCUCCGGGCCUAGUGGCGCUGGGGUGCGUAACGCGUGGGAACUUGCCCUUAGGUUCGGUACAAUUCAGUGAAAUUUGAGCUAAUACCGGAGGAUGUAUUCGCACCAAAGAUUUAUCGCUGUUGGAUGGGCCCGCGUGGGAUUAGCUAGUUGGUGGGGUAAUAGCCUACCAAGGCGUCGAUGCAUAGCUGGUCUGUGAAGAUGACAAACCACACUGGGAAUGAGACACGGCCGAGACUCGUACGGAGGAGAGCAGAGGGGAAUAUUAGACGCUGAACGAAAACCUGAUCCAGCAGUGCCGCGUGAGUGGUGAAGGCCUUAGGGUUGUAAAGCUCUUUGAGCCGAGGUGAUAGUGACAGUAUCGGGAGAAGAAGCACCGGCUAACUCCGUG